ACGAACGCUGGCGGCUUGCUUAACACCUGCAAGUCGAACGGAAAGGCCCUGCUUUUGUGGGGUGCUCGAGUGGCGAACGGGUGAGUAACACGUGAGUAACCUGCCCUUGACUUUGGGAUAACUUCAGGAAACUGGGGCUAAUACCGGAUAGGAGCUCCUGCUGCAUGGUGGGGGUUGGAAAGUUUCGGCGGUUGGGGAUGGACUCGCGGCUUAUCAGCUUGUUGGUGGGGUAGUGGCUUACCAAGGCUUUGACGGGUAGCCGGCCUGAGAGGGUGACCGGCCACAGUGGGACUGGGAUACGGCCCAGACUCCUACGGGAGGCAGCAGUGGGGACUAUUGCAAAAUGGGCGGAAGCCUGAUGCAGCAACGCCGCGUGCGGGAUGACGGCCUUCGGGUUGUAAACCGCUUUCGCCUGUGACGAAGCGUGAGUGACGGUACUGGGUAAAGAAGCACCGGCUAACUACGU
rnacentral:rRNA from 1 species